GAGUGUGAACCGAGGCCGCGUCAUCAGUAUCCAGGCAGAAGGACCUGACACAGGUUGUGACAGGGAGAAGUGAAACCAGGGCAGAUGGGGGCUCCCCAACACUGGGCUUCCCCGCCCCCGACGCCGCCCUGGGGCCAGAGACCCUGAGAGGCGGGCCUGGGGACCUGGGACUUGGCCUGGACGCCACACCUACUGCACAGAGCGCUCUUUGUCCCACUGUGUCCCUGAGCCGUGGACCAGGAGCUGCGCGAGAACUUUGUGAAGUCUGUGCAGCGUUGAUAUGCCCUGGCCCAGGUCCUGGUGGAGCAGAACUUGCCAGCCAUUGCCAUACACUGUGAGACCCUUCAGGAGGAGAGUAGUUUAAAGGUCUUCAAUAUCGAAUUCUUGCGGCCAGCAACCUAUGUGGCCAAGGCAUGGACAUUAAGCAGGUGAACUCUGCCAUCAACUACCACCGGCCUGGCGAUUCCCACCCCUACCUGCAUCGGGAGGCCUGUGCAGGCCAGUUGCCCGAGGGGAUUGUCCAUCACAUUUGUGUCAAGUGAAAACAGUGCCAAGAUCCUCAGUGAGGUGCAAGGUCAAACUGAGGUCGAUGGUACUGAACUGCCUGAGGAGAUGGACAUUUCCUCCUCCAGUUGUAUCCCUGUGGCUUUUGAAAAGAACCUCACUCACUGAACAUCAUCUGGGAUGAGGGCGCCCCCUGGUGUCCGGGCCCCUGUCCAGGUGCUGGACCUGAAGGAGACCCUAAGGAGGGCCUGGCUGAGGAGGAGAAAGGCAGCUGGGUCUUCUCUCCAUAGUCCUGUGGCCGCAUGUGGGGUGGAAGGUAAGAGGACAUCCCCCACUGCUCUGCUCUUGGGUGGAUUCUCACUGAGAAGCCUGAGUGGGGUCUGGACUGUAAGUCAGGUAGAUAUGUCUGAGCAGAAGCCUCGGCAUCAGUGAGGAGAGGAAGAAGUUUCUGAGCAGCCCUGGACUCCACAGGGGUCAGGCUCAGGGGUGAGGCGGGAUUGCAGGAGAGGAGAGCUCAGGGCCAGUGCCAUUGCUGAGGUGUCUGUGUCCCUGUGCACCUUGUCCUCCAGCCCCGUGAUGGUGAUACAGGGAAAACCGAAAAGUAGAAACACUUCCUUGGACUUCUAUUUCUAAACGUUUCAAAACUCAGUGAAACGAAAAUCAUUUCUGAUGUGGAAAUAGCAUCUCACUGUCUACACAAUGCUCCAUAGUGUGGACAUGUGCACUCAGAGUUUGUGAGCUGACCCCACAUCAGGCGCUGGGCUGACAGCACUGAGUCCGCUAGGGAUUCUCUCUCUCUCCCUCCCUUUCCCUCUCUCUCCCCCUCCCCUGCUUGUGUACUCUCUCUCCGUCGCUCAAUAAAAAUAAAUAAGCCUUUAAAAAUAAAAGAAUUGGUGUUUUCACUUUUAGGGGGGUAAAUACCCAAGAGUGCAAUUAUUGGAUUAUAUGACGAGUCACUAUGUUGUAAAUCUGAAAGGAAUGGAACAGUGUGUGUAAGCUACACUCAAAUAAUCAGAAAAAAAAAGAUAAUCCGAAAUAUUAGAGAACACUUUGGAAAAGAAGACACGAAAUGUCACACACCUAUAUUGGUAAUAAAUAAACACAAAGAAAAUGAGAGUAUGGAAUAUGUAGAGAGACAGGUCCUAGAGGUGUGGUGAUGAGAGGAUUGCAAAGCAGGGGGCUAAGACUCUCCAGGAGCCAAAGCCUCGGUCCCUUGGCUCAAGCCUCUUUGAUUUUUGCAACUUGUUGACAACAGCAAGCACAUACAACAUAAUAUUUGGCAUCUUGACAGGUCAUGUACCUGCAGUGUUUUCCAUACUGGGUCAUGAGUUCAUCUGGCACCAGACAAAACAUUCUUAUCCCCAGGGUGGCGCCCGGAUGAUGUCCUUCUGGAGAGAAGGAGCAAUCCCAGAG